rnacentral:rRNA from 1 species
GAUGAACGCUGGCGGCGUGCCUAAUACAUGCAAGUCGAGCGAACGGACGAGAAGCUUGCUUCUCUGAUGUUAGCGGCGGACGGGUGAGUAACACGUGGAUAACCUACCUAUAAGACUGGGAUAACUUCGGGAAACCGGAGCUAAUACCGGAUAAUAUAUUGAACCGCAUGGUUCAAUAGUGAAAGACGGUUUUGCUGUCACUUAUAGAUGGAUCCGCGCUGCAUUAGCUAGUUGGUAAGGUAACGGCUUACCAAGGCAACGAUGCGUAGCCGACCUGAGAGGGUGAUCGGCCACACUGGAACUGAGACACGGUCCAGACUCCUACGGGAGGCAGCAGUAGGGAAUCUUCCGCAAUGGGCGAAAGCCUGACGGAGCAACGCCGCGUGAGUGAUGAAGGUCUUCGGAUCGUAAAACUCUGUUAUUAGGGAAGAACAUAUGUGUAAGUAACUAUGCACGUCUUGACGGUACCUAAUCAGAAAGCCACGGCUAACUACGUG